UGGGGAAUAUUGCACAAUGGAGGGAACUCUGAUGCAGCGACGCCGCGUGAGUGAUGAAGGAAAUCGUUUCGUAAAACUCUGUUCUAUGGGAAGAAAAGGACUGUACCAUAGGAGAAAGCUCCGGCUAAAUACGUGCCAGCAGCCGCGGUAAUACGUAUGGAGCGAGCGUUGUCCGGAAUUAUUGGGCGUAAAGGGUGCGCAGGCGGCUUUACAAGUUGGAUGUGAAAUAUUGUGGCUCAACCACAAACGUGCAUCCAAAACUGCAAAGCUUGAGUGAAGGAGAGGUAAGUGGAAUUCCUGGUGGAGCGGUGGAAUGCGUAGAUAUCAGGAGGAAUACCGAUGGCGAAGGCGACUUACUGGACUUAAACAGACGCUCAGGCACGAAAGCGUGGGGAGCAAACAGG
rnacentral:rRNA from 1 species